AGAGUUUGAUCCUGGCUCAGGAUGAACGCUGGCGGCGUGCCUAAUACAUGCAAGUCGAACGAGUUCUCGUUGAUGAUCGGUGCUUGCACCGAGAUUCAACAUAGAACGAGUGGCGGACGGGUGAGUAACACGUGGGUAACCUGCCCUUAAGUGGGGGAUAACAUUUGGAAACAGAUGCUAAUACCGCAUAGAUCCAAGAACCGCAUGGUUCUUGGCUGAAAGAUGGCGUAAGCUAUCGCUUUUGGAUGGACCCGCGGCGUAUUAGCUAGUUGGUGAGGUAACGGCUCACCAAGGCGAUGAUACGUAGCCGAACUGAGAGGUUGAUCGGCCACAUUGGGACUGAGACACGGCCCAAACUCCUACGGGAGGCAGCAGUAGGGAAUCUUCCACAAUGGACGCAAGUCUGAUGGAGCAACGCCGCGUGAGUGAAGAAGGCUUUCGGGUCGUAAAACUCUGUUGUUGGAGAAGAAUGGUCGGCAGAGUAACUGUUGCCGGCGUGACGGUAUCCAACCAGAAAGCCACGGCUAACUACGUGCCAGCAGCCGCGGUAAUACGUAGGUGGCAAGCGUUAUCCGGAUUUAUUGGGCGUAAAGCGAGCGCAGGCGGUUUUUUAAGUCUGAUGUGAAAGCCCUCGGCUUAACCGAGGAAGCGCAUCGGAAACUGGGAAACUUGAGUGCAGAAGAGGACAGUGGAACUCCAUGUGUAGCGGUGAAAUGCGUAGAUAUAUGGAAGAACGCCAGUGGCGAAGGCGGCUGUCUGGUCUGUAACUGACGCUGAGGCUCGAAAGCAUGGGUAGCGAACAGGAUUAGAUACCCUGGUAGUCCAUGCCGUAAACGAUGAAUGCUAGGUGUUGGAGGGUUUCCGCCCUUCAGUGCCGCAGCUAACGCAUUAAGCAUUCCGCCUGGGGAGUACGACCGCAAGGUUGAAACUCAAAGGAAUUGACGGGGGCCCGCACAAGCGGUGGAGCAUGUGGUUUAA
rnacentral:rRNA from 1 species